GGAGUUGGUAGCUCACUGGUAGAGUGCAUGCUUUGUUUCUAUGAUGUCCAGGGUUCAAUGCCCGGCUACUCCC